AUUGAACGCUGGCGGCAGGCCUAACACAUGCAAGUCGAGCGGAGCUGCGGACGGGUGAGUAAUGCCUAGGAAUCUGCCUGGUAGUGGGGGAUAACGUCCGGAUAUGGGCGCUAAUACCGCAUACUAUCAGAUGAGCCUAGGUCGGAUUAGCUAGUUGGUGGGGUAAUGGCCUACCAAGGCGACGAUGCGGAACUGGUCUGAGAGGAGGAUCAGGAACACUGGAACGGAGACACGGUCCAGACUGCUAAGGGAGGCAGCAGUGGGGAAGAUUGGACAACAGGCGAAAGCCUGAUCCAGCCAUGCCGCGUGUGUGAAGAAGGUCUUCGGAUGGUAAAGCACUUUAAGUUGGGAGGCGUUACCAACAGAAUAAGCACCGGCUAACUUCGUGCCAGCAGCCGCGGUAAUUC
rnacentral:rRNA from 1 species